rnacentral:rRNA from 5 species
GUGCUAAGGUAGCAUAAUCAUUUGCUAUUUAAUUGGUAGCUGGAAUGAAAGGUUAAACUAGCUUACUCAGUUUGUUGUGUUUUGUAAGAAAUUAAAGUCGAGGUAAGAAUUCUUUGAUCUGCUAGGGGACGAUAAGACCCUAGAAGCUUAACAAUAAGAGUAUUUAUUAGUUAUAAAAAUUAAUUUGUUUUACUGGGGCGGUAAAGGUAUAUAAACUAUUAGUGUAUUGAUAGAUCCUUAAAAUAAAGAUAAAACGGGAAAGUUACUCUAGGGGUAACAGUGCAAUAUUUUUGGAGAGAUCAUAUCGAUAAAAAUGUUUGCAACCUCGAUGUUGAAUUAAGAUGUCUACGUGAAGCAGCAGGUACGUGAGAGGGUUUGUUCAACCUUUAAAUUUUUACAUGAUCUGAGUUCAAACCG